rnacentral:rRNA from 1 species
UACGUAGGGUGCGAGCGUUGUCCGGAAUUAUUGGGCGUAAAGAGCUCGUAGGCGGCUUGUCACGUCGGGUGUGAAAGCCCGGGGCUUAACCCCGGGUCUGCAUUCGAUACGGGCUGGCUGGAGUGUGGUAGGGGAGAUCGGAAUUCCUGGUGUAGCGGUGAAAUGCGCAGAUAUCAGGGGGAACACCGGUGGCGAAGGCGGAUCUCUGGGCCAUUACUGACGCUGAGGCGCGAAAGCUAGGGGAGCAAACAGG